rnacentral:rRNA from 1 species
CACGUAGGGCACAAGCGUUGUCCGGAAUUAUUGGGCGUAAAGAGCUCGUAGGCGGUCUGUUGCGUCCGCUGUGAAAACUCGGGGCUUAACCCCGAGCCUGCAGUGGAUACGGGCAGACUAGAGGUAGGUAGGGGAGAAUGGAAUUCCCGGUGUAGCGGUGAAAUGCGCAGAUAUCGGGAGGAACACCGGUGGCGAAGGCGGUUCUCUGGGCCUUACCUGACGCUGAGGAGCGAAAGCGUGGGGAGCGAACAGG